GNGAGGAUAUAGNCAAUGGGGGAACCCUGNUCUUGCCAUGCCGCGUGAGCGAUGAAGGCCUUAGGGUUGUAAAGCUCUUUCGCCAGGGAUGAUAAUGACAGUACCUGGUAAAGAAGCCCCGGCUAACUCCGUGCCAGCAGCCGCGGUAAUACGGAGGGGGCUAGCGUUGUUCGGAAUUACUGGGCGUAAAGCGCACGUAGGCNGGACAGGAAAGUUGGGGGUGAAAUCCCGGGGCUCAACUCCGGAACUGCCUCCAAAACUAUCUGUCUAGGGUCCGAGAGAGGUGAGUGGAAUUCCGAGUGUAGAGGUGAAAUUCGUAGAUAUUCGGAAGAACACCGGUGGCGAAGGCGGCUCACUGGCUCGGUACUGACGCUGAGGUGCGAAAGCGUGGGUAGCAAACAGGAUUAGAUACCCUGGUAUUCCACGCCGUAAACGUUGAAUGCCAGACGUCGGGCAGCAUGCUGUUCGGUGUCACACCUAACGGAUUAAGCAUUCCGCCUGGGGAGUACNGCCGCAAGGUUAAAACUCAAAGGAAUUGACGGGGNCCCNCACAAGCGGNGGAGCAUGUGGUUUAAUUCNAANCANCNCNUNAACCUUACCANCCCUUGACNUNCUGNNCNNGGNUUCCCNANAGGGAAUCCUNCANUU
rnacentral:rRNA from 1 species